UUUUCUUUGUUUGUUUGUUUUUUUUGUUUGUUUGUUUGUUUUUGGUAAUUCCAUUCUAGGUGCUAAGUACUAAUAAUGUGAUACUUUAUUGACAGAGUGAUUGUAAUUCUUAUCCAGAACACUGUUUCUGUGUUCUCUGGAAUAUUCAGCCUCUGAUUCUUAGCCCUCCAGGGAGUGUCAGGAAUGGGUUCCUUCUUGUGGCAUGAAUCUCCAGUUGGACCAUUUAUUGGUUGGCCACUCCCGCAAGUUCUGUAUCACCCUUACCCAGCACAUCUUGCAGGUAAUGUCAUUGUCACCAAAAAUCAACAUCUGUCCACCAAAAGAAACUAACAUGGGAAACAAGCCAGGACACACUCUAAGUCAAUGGCAAAACCAAUAUCGAGAUUCUUGAUAAAAGCCAGGUAU